GACGAACGCUGGCGGCGUGCCUAAUACAUGCAAGUCGAACGCUUCUUUCCUCCCGAGUGCUUGCACUCAAUUGGAAAGAGGAGUGGCGGACGGGUGAGUAACACGUGGGUAACCUACCCAUCAGAGGGGGAUGACACUUGGAAACAGGUGCUAAUACCGCAUAACAGUUUAUGCCGCAUGGCAUAAGAGUGAAAGGCGCUUUCGGGUGUCGCUGAUGGAUGGACCCGCGGUGCAUUAGCUAGUUGGUGAGGUAACGGCGCACCAAGGCCACGAUGCAUAGCCGACCUGAGAGGGUGAUCGGCCACACUGGGACUGAGACACGGCCCAGACUCCUACGGGAGGCAGCAGUAGGGAAUCUUCGGCAAUGGACGAAAGUCUGACCGAGCAACGCCGCGUGAGUGAAGAAGGUUUUCGGAUCGUAAAACUCUGUUGUUAGAGAAGAACAAGGACGUUAGUAACUGAACGUCCCCUGACGGUAUCUAACCAGAAAGCCACGGCUAACUACGUG
rnacentral:rRNA from 1 species